rnacentral:rRNA from 1 species
UACGGAGGGUGCAAGCGUUAUCCGGAUUCACUGGGUUUAAAGGGUGCGUAGGCGGGCAUUUAAGUCAGUGGUGAAAUACCUGAGCUUAACUUGGGAACUGCCAUUGAUACUAUUUGUCUUGAAUGUCGUGGAGGUUAGCGGAAUAUGUCAUGUAGCGGUGAAAUGCUUAGAUAUGACAUAGAACACCAAUUGCGAAGGCAGCUGGCUACACGAAUAUUGACACUGAUGCACGAAAGCGUGGGGAUCAAACAGG